rnacentral:misc_RNA from 1 species
GAUGAAGAACGCAGCGAAAUGCGAUAAGUAAUGUGAAUUGCAGAAUUCAGUGAAUCAUCGAAUCUUUGAACGCACCUUGCGCUCUUUGGUAUUCCGAAGAGCAUGCCUGUUUGAGUGUCAUGAAAAUAUCAACCUUGUCUUGGGUUUUGUGCUCUAGUCUCGGCUUGGAAUUGGGUGCUUGCCGCUUUUACGAGCGGCUCACCUUAAAUGUAUUAGCUGGAUCUGUCUUUGAGACUUGGUUUGACUUGGCGUAAUAAGUAUUUCGCUAAGGACAUUCUUCGGAGUGGCCUCGUUUCUAGGACGCUUGUCCGCUUUCCAAUACAAGUUCCACCUCGUGGACAUGACUUUUUAUUAUCUGGCCUCAAAUCAGGUAGGACUACCCGCUGAACUUAAGCAUAUCAAUAAGCGGAGGA